rnacentral:lncRNA from 1 species
UCAAAGUCAAGGUCCAAGUGCGACACUACUGCAACGCACAAUGAAAUGGGUAUUUUAGGAUGAGUUUCUUCAUCAUAAUUACAAACAUAUCACAAAAAACCUUUAUAAUUUCUAUACUUAGACACAUAAUCCUGACAAGUAAUCCAUAAAAAUGAAGAAGGUUGCUGCGUACUAUUGUCUUCUUCUGAUUUUUCUCAUAUUAUCAAUGGAUGCGUGGUGUCUACAAAGCCAAGCCAGGAUCUUGGAGUCGUCCCCUGUCAAAUCCCAAGGUACUGUCCAAUUAACCGUGUAUGACCAACUUCUCUAAAAGUUUAAACUGUUAAAAAGAAUAAUUAUUUUAUUUUUAAUUAUGUUUUCAAUAACCUUUAUAUCAACGAAGGCCAAUGAUAUUCCCUUACUUCUUAAGUUUUGAAUUUUAUGAGCCCUUCGAUUGUAUCCCAUGAGAAAAUCUCUCUGAUAAACAUGUUGUCGAUGAUUCGUUUCCUGUAUAUGUAGAAGAAGAUAUGAAUUAUCUAGCCCGAGGUCGUAGUGACAGGGAGGCUCAUCAUUUCGAAGACUAUUAUCCUUCACCUAAAGCAAAUACAAAUAGUCAUCAGUAUGUUUUCUAACUUCUUAGAGAUCCUUUACUUAUUUGUUGAUUCUUUUUUAUUUAAGUCCUGAAAGAGUGCUAAUAGUAAAUUCCGUCACUUGCACACAGCGGCUGAAGUCCACCGCCGUACCGGCGCCAAUGAUUCUGAAAUAGGAAAGCUCAUGAUUCGUGAAAGAAGCUAAGUCCUGGGCCAUGCAUAUGAAAUGAAGUUAUUGAAAGGAACUUAUAGAUUGUUUGGAUGGUUGUUAUCCAUUGUAUUGUAUUGUAUUGUAUUGUAUUGUUAUCCCGAAAUGAUGUUUGUUUUGAUUGUUUAUUUAAAAUUGAUUGUAUCGUAUUGAUAAAUUCAUUGUUCCGGAACAACCAAACGCCCCAUUUUAUGAAACAACCGAUUUGGUGUGGUGUCAC